rnacentral:piRNA from 1 species
GUGCAUAUUGGAGGCAAUGAUCU